rnacentral:rRNA from 1 species
GAUGAACGCUGGCGGCGUGCCUAAUACAUGCAAGUCGAGCGAAUGGAUUAAGAGCUUGCUCUUAUGAAGUUAGCGGCGGACGGGUGAGUAACACGUGGGUAACCUGCCCAUAAGACUGGGAUAACUCCGGGAAACCGGGGCUAAUACCGGAUAACAUUUUGAACCGCAUGGUUCGAAAUUGAAAGUCGGCUUCGGCUGGCACUUAUGGAUGGACCCGCGUCGCAUUAGCUAGUUGGUGAGGUAACGGCUCACCAAGGCAACGAUGCGUAGCCGACCUGAGAGGGUGAUCGGCCACACUGGGACUGAGACACGGCCCAGACUCCUACGGGAGGCAGCAGUAGGGAAUCUUCCGCAAUGGACGCAAGUCUGACGGAGCAACGCCGCGUGAGUGAUGAAGGCUUUCGGGUCGUAAAACUCUGUUGUUAGGGAAGAACAAGUGCUAGUUGAAUAAGCUGGCACCUUGACGGUACCUAACCAGAAAGCCACGGCUAACUACGUGCCAGCCGCCGCAGUAA